rnacentral:rRNA from 1 species
UACGUAGGGGGCAAGCGUUGUCCGGAAUCAUUGGGCGUAAAGGGCGCGUAGGCGGCCUGGCAAGUGGAAGGUGAAAUCCCUCGGCUUAACCGAGGAACUGCCUCCCAAACUGCUUGGCUUGAGACCAGGAGAGGUGAGUGGAAUUCCCAGUGUAGCGGUGAAAUGCGUAGAUAUUGGGAGGAACACCAGUGGCGAAGGCGGCUCACUGGACUGGUACUGACGCUGAGGCGCGAAAGCGUGGGGAGCAAACGGG